GCGGGCGUAGUUUAGUGGUAGAACGUGGGCUUCCCAAGCCUGAGGUGAGAGUUCGAUUCUCUUCGCCCGCA
rnacentral:tRNA from 1 species